CCCUCCUUCUUUCCUUCCUUCCUUUUCUCCUUCCCUGCUUCCUUUCCUCCUUUCCUGCCUUCUUCCUUCCCUCCCUCUCCCCCAGCGCUGCUCCCGGCCCCGGUAAGCUGCAGCCUUUACUCCGACCAGAAAGGCCAACAUCAGGGGUUAACUUAUUUAUAACAAAUCCCCUCCCUCUCUUCUCCCCUUAUCCCCUUUCACACGGUGCUGAGGGGUGCGUUCGGGAGUUGCUCUCAUCUCCCCACACUGCGCUGCUGCUGCUAAAACGCUGCGCACCGGGAGAGCAGGAAAAACCAUCGCAGGGAAACAAACGAGCCUCUGUAUCCAGGAGUCCCUUGCACGGGCAAAAGGUUCAAGGAUGCCUGAGCAAAACCCAGGACAGCCUUAGAGCUCCCUCAGUUCAAUGCUGCCUGAGCGUCCUCAGAGCCUUCCAGGCGCUUGAAUCCAAAUCUUCAGGACCAAUCCUCCAUUUGUAAAGCAUCGAGCUGAAGCUUUGAUGGCAAGGUGGAACAUCUUUGGACAAAGAGAAGCACAGCCAGCCUCUGAAAAGCAGACCCUUUUGGAUAAAUUCACCUGGAUAAAACAACAAGGACAAGGUAGCAUUCAACUAAGUGUGCUGAAAAAGCAAAUAUGAAAUUUCUGAGCUACCAAAGCAGAACUUACACCAGCCACCACCUCAAGGAACAAAGGUGAAAAAACAAUGCAGAAGUGAAAUGUCUUUCUCAGGACCACAUACUGCCUGUCUUGUACCUACCAACUUCGAUUCCCCUGCUCAUACCACUAGAUCCUGCGGAAAAGUUAGUGUGAUAAUUCCCAAUGUGAAAUUGCCUCCUGGAAAAGAAAUGUAUAACCCAUUAAAUA